GAGCGGCUCGAGAGGUGCUUGCACCUCGGAUGGCAGCGGCGGACGGGUGAGUACUCGUGGGUAACCUGCCUGACAGAUCGGGAUAACGCUUGGAAACGAGUGCUACUACCGGAUAUGCUCUUGCUUCGCAUGAAGCGAGAGGGAAAGAGGCUUUUGCCUCACUGUCAGAUGGACCCGCGGCGCAUAAUCUAGUUGGUGAGGUAACGGCUCACCAAUGCGACGAUGCGUAUCCGACCUGAGAGGGUGACCGGCCUCACUGGGACUGAGACACGGUCCAGACUCCUACGGGAGGCAGCAGUAGGGAAUCUUCCGCAAUGGGCGCAAGCCUGACGGAGCAUCGCCGCGUGAGUGAUGAAGGCCUUCGGGUUGUAAAACUCUGUCUUCUGUGAUGAACAAUUGUGAGAUGGGAAUGCUCGCAAUCUGACUGUAACAUAUGAGGAAGCCCCGGCUAACUACGUGCCAUCAGCCGCGGUAAU
rnacentral:rRNA from 1 species